rnacentral:rRNA from 1 species
CGUGGGGCGGAAACGACACUAACAAUCCUUCGGGUGCGUUAAUGGGCGUCGAGCGGCGGACGGGUGAGUAAUGCCUAGGAAAUUGCCUUGAUGUGGGGGAUAACCAUUGGAAACGAUGGCUAAUACCGCAUAAUGCCUACGGGCCAAAGAGGGGGAUCUUCGGACCUCUCGCGUCAAGAUAUGCCUAGGUGGGAUUAGCUAGUUGGUGAGGUAAUGGCUCACCAAGGCGACGAUCCCUAGCUGGUCUGAGAGGAUGAUCAGCCACACUGGAACUGAGACACGGUCCAGACUCCUACGGGAGGCAGCAGUGGGGAAUAUUGCACAAUGGGCGAAAGCCUGAUGCAGCCAUGCCGCGUGUAUGAAGAAAGCCUUCGGGUUGUAAAGUACUUUCAGUUGUGAGGAAGGGGUAACG